GAACAAGGGAAGAGUGGGCGUGGAGGG
rnacentral:piRNA from 1 species